CCUACGGGUGACAGCAGUGGGGAAUAUUGGGCAAUGGGCGCAAGCCUGACCCAGCAACGCCGCGUGAAGGAAGAAGGCUUUCGGGUUGUAAACUUCUUUUCUCAGGGACGAAGCAAGUGACGGUACCUGAGGAAUAAGCCACGGCUAACUACGUGCCAGCAGCCGCGGUAAUACGUAGGUGGCAAGCGUUAUCCGGAUUUACUGGGUGUAAAGGGCGUGUAGGCGGGACUGCAAGUCAGAUGUGAAAACCAUGGGCUCAACCUAUGGCCUGCAUUUGAAACUGUAGUUCUUGAGUGCUGGAGAGGCAGACGGAAUUCCUAGUGUAGCGGUGGAAUGCGUAGAUAUUAGGAGGAACACCAGUGGCGAAGGCGGUCUGCUGGACAGCAACUGACGCUGAGGCGCGAAAGCGUGGGGAGCAAACAGGAUUAGAUACCCCGGUAGUC
rnacentral:rRNA from 1 species